rnacentral:lncRNA from 1 species
UAGUGUGUGCGUGUGUGAGGUCGACCAGGAGAAAGCUCAGGGAGCUCAAACCCUAACUUCCACAACUUGAUCAAAUUGAAGCCCAAAUCAAGAGCCAAAUCACUGCAUGAACACAAAUUCGUGAUCACCUAAUCAUGGGGAUUACAAGUUUGACGCGUCACAAGCUAGGUGGAAGCUUGGAGUGAAAGCGGGUCAAACAAGUCAAGCAUGGAAGAAAAGCGUAGCUCGGAU